AUAUUAUUAAUUGUCAAAGAAAACACGUUAAUCAAAGAAAUUACACUCGAAGCAUCGGUCGCCAACGAGGAAAGAAAGGACAGAGAAAAGAUCAUCCACAACCAAAGCAUGAGAAAGGUUUCACUACAGCUCCAACAAAAGCAGAAGAUUAAAAAAAAAUUAAAAAAUUCCUACAAAAUUAUUUGAAAAAUAGGAGAAGCAACGCUUAGUGGAAUCGUAUACAUACCUGUAAUUAAACAAUGGUGGAUCCAUCGAUCGAAUUAGCAAGGAAGCGAUACCAAAGAGAAAAUCUUUGAACACUAUUGACUUGUAAGACGAUCGACUUAGAAUCGUUAUAUUCACAUGUUUUGUUUAGCCGCAUCCAUUCUAUGAAUCUAAUGGUAAUAUAUA
rnacentral:lncRNA from 1 species